UCUCUCUCAUUAAUCAGUCGAGAACUCUCGCCCUCUCCCUCAACAUCAGUCGCGGUCUCCCUCUCUCGAUUCAGUCGAGAUAUCCGAAGUCGCCACUUCCUUCUCCGGCUGUUCGAGCUGCCGGCGUCCAAUCGUUGACCGCGCCGCCUCCUUUCUCUAAAACCCCUCUUUUCCACUCUCAAAAUCAGUCGAGGUUUCAACCGCCGCCUCUGCUCCGACCGGCGUCGGCUGCCGCCGAGCCUAGGUCCGGCGUGGCCGCACCUGCCUCUCCCUUCUUAUCUUCUCUCUCGCUGAUAGUACGUCCGAGGCGAGAAGGGCGAGCCCUAAUUUCUCCCCGACAUUGCAAUCGCCGCUGCCGCCGCCGCAACUCCCGACGAACAGCCGGGGUCUCGUUCGUCCUCCUGCGCCGGGCUCUUCUUUUCAAUCCGAUGAAGGGACAGCAGAAGCCCUAAUUUCCCUCUCUGAUUUUGAACCGCCUCUCUCUGCUCGGCGCCGCGGCGUUCUGUAAACCCGGCGAUUUACAAUCGCCGUCCAGUUCUCUGUCCAUCAAUCGGUGAACCGACGUCGUCUCGCUCUCUUCUCCGAGCCAUUCAGGUCCCGAUUCAGACGUCAAGGUGGGUAGGGAGUCGAGCACUGUUUCUUUUCCACCUCCGCCACCAUGGUUCUGCCGUCAUCUCCACCGUCUGUGGAAGGCCGGCGAUUCAGCGUCGUUGUUCCAUUCGCGACACUGCUGCUGUUGUCACACGAUUUCCGCCGAGGCAGCAAGAGCUGCCGCUGUCGCCGUCGUCGCCGUCGUCUUGGCUCAACCGAAUAGGCCGCCGACCCUAUUUCUUAAAGCUAAGUUCUCUAGUCUCAUUUGUUUUCUAAUCCGCAAUGGGGUGUCGAUGAGUAUGCAAAAUGAAUCUCGAAACCACAAUGUUGGGACUAAGUCUGUGUUCGAUUAUAAGCUAAGGUGUAUCCCUUCUUAUUAUCAGCGAAGUCAUUGAUGCAAUAGAGUAGUAGUAUGUGAAUGGUUGAUCAUGCUCUGAGGAUGCGAGAUGUGUAUGUUGAGAGGGUGGACUGAGAUAGUAUAAAUACCUUGAAGUAUAAAUGUUGGUUGGUGAUUUGUUGCUGAGUUAGACGAACUGGAAGCUGUUAGAAUCUGAAAUAGAGUCAUAAGAUGUUUCUCUUAACAAAUGCAGGGGAAGAUUACGGCAGGAGGUGGAAGGAAUAAAGCCCAAGCUUACCUUAAGGGUUUGGCAGAAAACAAUGAAGGUGAAAUCUUGGGGAAGUUGAAGAGAGUUAAGUAAGUUUACCUCCUGGCAGAGAAUGAAUGAAGGUCCCUGCUGUCCUGAAACUUUCUAAGUGUGGAAUGGAAAUGAAAUGAGAAGGUUGCUGCUGAUAAACUGAUUUGAAGAAGUGUAGUGGCAGCUGCACUUGAGUAACCUACGAGAUUGAUGGCAGUAGGGUGGCUGAUGUAUGGGUUAGAUUAGAUGGGGCUGACAUGGGGAAGGGUUGAAAGACCUUCCCUGCUGUACUUGGCAGCAGAGGGAAAGGGUGGAGAGAGGCUGCCCUCUUGCAGCUCACGUUCUCCACUUCCCUUUUCCCUUUUUUUUCUUUUCUUUGUGUACUUGGUGUUGGUGUAAUUAGGAAGAUAGAAAUGGAGGUUGAUUUUGAGUAAAAGUCUGUAAAGUUUGAAGAUAGGAUGGUGGUGAAUAAACGAGAUAUAUUCGUAUAUCUCGGUGCUUCUGUAAUUGUAAUAUGAAUCUAGAUUAAAUCCGUA